rnacentral:rRNA from 1 species
AUUGAACGCUGGCGGCAGGCCUAACACAUGCAAGUCGAGCGGAUGAAGGGAGCUUGCUCCUGGAUUCAGCGGCGGACGGGUGAGUAAUGCCUAGGAAUCUGCCUGGUAGUGGGGGAUAACGUCCGGAAACGGGCGCGAAUACCGCAUACGUCCUGAGGGAGAAAGUGGGGGAUCUUCGGACCUCACGCUAUCAGAUGAGCCUAGGUCGGACUAGCUAGUUGGUGGGGUAAGGGCCUACCAAGGCGACGAUCCGUAACUGGUCUGAGAGGAUGAUCAGUCACACUGGAACUGAGACACGGUCCAGACUCCUACGGGAGGCAGCAGUGGGGAAUAUUGGACAAUGGGCGAAAGCAUGAUCCAGCCAUGCCGCGUGUGUGAAGAAGGUCUUCGGAUUGUAAAGCACUUUAAGUUGGGAGGAAGGGCAGUAAGUUAAUACCUUGCUGUUUUGACGUUACCAACAGAAUAAGCACCGGCUAACUUCGUG